rnacentral:rRNA from 1 species
AUUGAACGCUGGCGGCAUGCUUUACACAUGCAAGUCGAACGGUAACAGGUUAAGCUGACGAGUGGCGAACGGGUGAGUAAUGCAUCGGAACGUGCCCGGUCGUGGGGGAUAACGCAGCGAAAGUUGCGCUAAUACCGCAUACGAUCUGAGGAUGAAAGCGGGGGACCGUAAGGCCUCGCGCGAUCGGAGCGGCCGAUGUCAGAUUAGGUAGUUGGUGGGGUAAAGGCUCACCAAGCCAACGAUCUGUAGCUGGUCUGAGAGGACGACCAGCCACACUGGGACUGAGACACGGCGCAGACUCCUACGGGAGGCAGCAGUGGGGAAUUUUGGACAAUGGGCGAAAGCCUGAUCCAGCAAUGCCGCGUGCAGGAAGAAGGCCUUCGGGUUGUAAACUGCUUUUGUACGGAGCGAAAAGGUCUCCUCUAAUACUGGGGGCUCAUGACGGUACCGUAAGAAUAAGCACCGGCUAACUACGUGCCAGCCGCCGCCGUAA